rnacentral:rRNA from 1 species
ACGACGUCAAGUCCUCAUGGCCUUUAUAUCCAGGGCUACACACGUGCUACAAUGGGUCGUACAAAGGGUCGCCACUCCGCGAGGAGGAGCUAAUCCCAAAAAGCGGCUCUCAGUUCGGAUCGGAGUCUGCAACUCGACUCCGUGAAGUUGGAAUCGCUAGUAAUCGUGGAUCAGCAUGCCACGGUGAAUACGUUCCCGGGCCUU